GACGAACGCUGGCGGCGUGCUUAACACAUGCAAGUCGAACGGAAAGGCCCUGCUUUUGUGGGGUGCUCGAGUGGCGAACGGGUGAGUAACACGUGAGUAACCUGCCCUUGACUUUGGGAUAACUUCAGGAAAAUGGGGCUAAUACCGGAUAGGAGCUCCUGCUGCAUGGUGGGGGUUGGAAAGUUUCGGCGGUUGGGGAUGGACUCGCGGCUUAUCAGCUUGUUGGUGGGGUAGUGGCUUACCAAGGCUUUGACGGGUAGCCGGCCUGAGAGGGGGACCGGCCACAUUGGUACUGAGAUACGGCCCAGACUCGUACGUGAGGCAGCAGUGGGGAGUAUGGCACAAUGGGCGGAAGCCUGAUGCAGCAACGCCGCGUGCGGGAUGACGGCCUUCGGGUUGUAAACCACUUUCGCCUGUGACGAAGCGUGAGUGACGGUAAUGGGUAAAGAAGCACCGGCUAACUACGUG
rnacentral:rRNA from 1 species